CAAAAACAUCGCCCCUUGAUUCAAAAACAUAAGGGGUACUGCCUGCCCAGUGAUAAAUAUUUAACGGCCGCGGUAUUAUGACCGUGCAAAGGUAGCGUAAUCACUUGUCUUUUAAAUAAAGACCCGUAUGAACGGCAAGACGAAAGCUUAACUGUCUCCUCAAAUUGAUUAAUGAAAUUGAUCUCCCCGUGCAGAAGCGGGGAUAUUACUAUAAGACGAGAAGACCCUAUGGAGCUUUAAAUUUAAAUUAACUAUACUCUGUAAAAUAUAAUAAAUAAUGUAAUUAAAAAUUUUAGGUUGGGGCGACCACGGAGUAAAUUUUAACCUCCGAGAUGAAUAAUUAAGAAUUACACUUCAAGAUAAUAAAAUAUUAAUAUAUUUGAUCCAAUAUUUGAUCAACGAACUAAGUUACCCUAGGGAUAACAGCGCAAUCUUCUCAAAGAGUUCAUAUCGAUGAGCAGGUUUACGACCUCGAUGUUGGAUCAGGACUUCCUAAUGGUGCAGCAACUAUUAAAGGUUCGUUUGUUCAACGAUUAAAGUCCUACGUGAUCUGAUUCAGACCGG
rnacentral:rRNA from 1 species